GACGAACGCUGGCGGCGUGCUUAACACAUGCAAGUCGAGCGGCGCGGCGGACGGGAGAGUAACGCGUGAGCAACUGCACCCGUCUCUGGGCUAACAGUUGGAAACGGCUGCUAAUACCGGAACGAGGGGGUUGAGUCGCGUUAUAUCAGCUUGUUGGUGGGGUAGUGGCGUACCAAGGCAACGACGGGUAGCCGGCCUGUGAGGGCGACCGGACACAGUGGGCUGGGAAACGGCCCGAACUCCAUCUGGGGGCAGCAGUGGGGAAUAUUGCACAAUGGGGGAAACGAGGAUGCAGGAACGCCGCGUGCUGGAUGACUGCCGUCGGGUUGGAACCCGCUUUCAGCCAAAACGCGGUAGUGACAGAGGAAGCACCGGCUAACUACGUGCCAGCAGCCGCGGUAAUAC
rnacentral:rRNA from 1 species